AUUACCCUCAGAUUCACCAAAGCCUCUCUCUCUCUCUCUCUCUCUCUCUCUCUCUCCCUCUCUCCCCCCUCUUUUCUCUCUCUUUCUUUCUUUGGAGCCCCAGUCGGCUACAAACCCUCUUCCGAAAUCCGUAACCCAGAAAUCCAAAUUUCAAUUUUCAGACAGGAACGAAACAAAACCCAGUCGAAUCGAUUUUCUCCAUUGAUUUGGGGUUUCUUGAGAAUAGAGAAGAGGGAAAAGAAAGGGGCAAUGGAUUCGGAUCAAGGGAAGCUUUUUAUUGGUGGGAUUUCAUGGGAGACUUCUGAGGAUAAGCUUAAGGACUACUUUAGCAACUAUGGUGAAGUUAUGCAUACCGUCGUUAUGAGGGAUAAGAUCACUAGCAGACCCAGAGGGUUUGGCUUUGUUGUCUUUUCAGAUCCCUCUGUUCUUGAUCGAGUUCUUCAGGAUAAGCACACUAUCGAUGGUAAAACGGUUGAGGCCAAGAGGGCCUUAUCACGGGAGGAACAGCAGACCCCUGCCAGAGCAAGCAAUUCCAAUGGUAGAAACUCUGGCGGCAGUGGUGGUGGAAACAUGAGAACCAAAAAAAUUUUUGUUGGGGGAUUGCCUCCUACAUUGACUGAAGAAGGAUUUAAAGAGUACUUUGAGGCUUAUGGCCAUGUAACUGAUGUAGUAGUCAUGUAUGAUCAAAAUACUAGGCGUCCACGAGGAUUUGGUUUUAUAUCUUUUGAUACUGAAGAGGCUGUUGACAGAGUUUUGCACAAGACGUUUCACGAUUUGAAUGGUAAACAAGUAGAAGUUAAGCGUGCCCUUCCCAAGGAUGCCAAUCCAGGUGCAGGUGGCCGUACAAUGAGUGGGGGUGCUGGUAGUGGUGGUUAUCAGGGUUAUGGGUCAUCUGGUGGUGUCAAUUCAAAUUCUUAUGAUAAUCGUAUGGAUUCCAAUAGGUACAUGCAAUCACAGGGCUCUAGUGGAGGUUUCCCACCAUAUGGUUCCUCUGGAUACAAUAAUCCUGCAUAUGGGUAUGGUUCAUCGAAUAAUGGUAUGGGAUAUGGUGGUUAUGGAAAUUACAGUGGUUCAAAUACUGGGUUUGGUGCCCCUACAGCAGUAGCCUAUGGUAACCCAAAUGUUGCCAAUGCUGGUUAUGGGAGCGGUCCUCAAGGUGGACCUAGAAAUUCAUGGUCAGGUCAAGCUCCCUCCGGGUAUGGAGCCAUGGGUUAUGGGAAUGCAGCUCCUUGGGGUGGUGCUCCUGGUGGAAAUGCUGGGGCUGGCAGUGGAGGACCUGGAUCUGCACCCACAGGUCAUUCUCCUGGUGGAGCCGCUGCUGGGUAUGGCAAUCAGGGUUAUGGAUAUGGUGGGUUUGGUAAUCAAGGUUAUGGUUAUGGUGGAGGUGAUGGCUCAUACGGUAGUCAAUCUGGUUAUGGUACAACUGGAGGACGAUCUGGUAGUGCAUCAAAUAGCAAUGUUGGAGGUGGUCCAAGUGGGGGAGAAUUACAGGGGAACAAUGCUUACAUGGGUAAUGGCUAUGGGGAUGCUAAUGGAAACACUGGUUAUGGAAAUGCUGCAUGGAGAUCUGAUGGAGGACAAGUAGGUUAUACAGGUGGUUAUGCUGGUGGACAAGCUCGACAAGCUCAACAACAGUAAUUUGAUGAUAAAAAAGUGAACUGGAUUUCGCCAUGUUCUGUGUCUCCCUGUUUGUUUUAUGAGAAUUGAGAUCGAUGUUUUCCAGUUGCUUAUUAAAAAAAGUUUUCUUGUUGCUGACUGAAGCAGUGGCCCAAUUUGGAACACAAUGAGCCUGGAGGGAUGCCCGGAGUUGUAAAAGUGGAGUCAAGAGAGUCCACUCAUGGCUGAACACAGGCUUCGUAAUGAAAGACCGUGUUGGGGAUGUGUGUGUUCAGCAUUUAUGGAACUCGAGGACCUUUAAUCGGUUGAAAAAUGGAUUUACCCCCGGAACUGAAUAUGUUCUCCUGCAAGGCCUUGCCAGCACUAUCAAGUAUUUCAAGUCUCUGGCAUUGCAAGUCAUGAGUUUAUAGUAAAUCUUCUCAAGGUAGUGGAAUCCAUACCUUCAAGAUUUGGUUAUGUAGGAUACUUGGUAUUGAUUAUGAGUAGGUAUUGAUUUGAGGUUCUUUGUUGAAACAGAUUCCAAUUAAGUUUUAGAGUGAAUAAAGUAAAACUUCAUAGCCAUUUCUCCUGUCAUUUAGCUAAUAGUUGUCUUUGUAGCUUAGCCUAAAUAGAAUACUUGUGCGUUUACCUUUAACUAUUGGUAAAGUAGCAAUUGGCUCAAUUUAUUCCUUUGCUA